UGGCAGUGGUGAUGAUGUCGACGUUUGUCGUUUUUCCUGAAUCAAACGUGAAGGUUUUCAGUCACUACCUCAUCUGAACGGCCA